rnacentral:rRNA from 1 species
GUCGAGCGAUCAUUAGCGGGUAGCAAUAUCUGCUAGUGGGAGCGGCGCAAGGGUGCGUAACACGUGGGUAAUCUGCCAUGAAGUCCGAGAUAACUUGCUGAAAGGCGAGCUAAUACCGGAUGUGACCACUUGGGGGCCUCCCCGAGGGGUCAAAGUUGGGGACCGAAAGGCCUGACGCUUCAUGAUGAGCCCGCGGCCUAUCAGCUAGUUGGUGAGGUAACGGCUCACCAAGGCUAAGACGGGUAGCUGGUCUGAGAGGACGACCAGCCACACUGGAACUGAGACACGGUCCAGACACCUACGGGUGGCAGCAGUCGAGAAUUUUUCACAAUGGGCGAAAGCCUGAUGGAGCGACGCCGCGUGGGGGAUGAAUGGCUUCGGCCCGUAAACCCCUGUCAUUCGCGAUCAAACCUCGUUAUUUAAAAGAUGACGAGCUGAUAGUAGCGGAAGAGGAAGGGACGGCUAACUCUGUGCCAGCAGCCGCGGUAAUACAGAGGUCCCAAGCGUUGUUCGGAUUCACUGGGCGUAAAGGGUGCGUAGGUGGUGAGGUAAGUCGGAUGUGAAAGCUCGGAGCUCAACUCCGAAAUGGCAUUGGAAACUACCUUGCUAGAGGGUUGGAGGGGGGACUGGAAUACUUGGUGUAGCAGUGAAAUGCGUAGAUAUCAAGUGGAACACCAGUGGCGAAGGCGAGUCCCUGGACAACUCCUGACACUGAGGCACGAAAGCUAGGGGAGCAAACAGGAUUAGAUACCCUGGUAGUCCUAGCCGUAAACGGUGCACGUUUGCUGUAAAAGGAAUCGA